rnacentral:rRNA from 1 species
CAAGUCGAACGAAUCCCAACUUUGUAGCAAUACCGAGUUGGGGGAAGUGGCGAAAGGGGCAGUAAUGCGUGGGUAAUCUACCUCGGGGACGUGGAUAGCCAUUCUAACGAGUGGGUAAUACGCGGCGAUUUGGUUGAGGGGCAUCCCUUGGCCAGGAAAUGAAUUUCGCCUCGAGAGGAACUCACGUGAUAUUAGCUUGUUGGCGGGGUAACGGCCCACCAAGGCAAAGAUGUCUAGCGGGUGUGAGAGCACGACCCGCGCCACUGGCACUGAGACACUGGCCAGACACCUACGGGUGGCUGCAGUCGAGGAUCUUCGGCAAUGGGCGCAAGCCUGACCGAGCGACGCCGCGUGCGCGAUGAAGGCCUUCGGGUUGUAAAGCGCUGUCGAGGGGGAGGAAGCCGAAAGGUUGACCUAUCCCUGGAGGAAGGACGGGCUAAGUUCGUGCCAGCAGCCGCGGUAAGACGAACCGUCCUAACGUUGUUCGGAAUCACUGGGCUUAAAGGGCGCGUAGGCGGCUUGCCAAGUCCGGGGUGAAAUCCUGCAGCUUAACUGUAGAAGGGCCUUGGAUACUGGCAAGCUCGAGGGAGGUAGGGGUCGCUGGAACUUCCGGUGGAGCGGUGAAAUGCGUUGAUAUCGGAAGGAACGCCGGUGGCGAAAGCGAGCGACUGGACCUCUUCUGACGCUGAGGCGCGAAAGCUAGGGGAGCAAACGGGAUUAGAUACCCCGGUAGUCCUAGCCCUAAACGAUGGGUACUAGAUUGUAGACUUAACAUGGGUUUACAAUCGAAGCAAAAGUGUUAAG